rnacentral:lncRNA from 1 species
CUGCCGCAGCCCCUGCCGGCCUCCCGGAGGAGGUCGGUCCAGCUCUGUCUCCUGCCGCCCUCCCGGAGGAGGUCGGUCCAGCGCGGUCUCCUGCCGCCCUCCCGGAGGAGAUGGUCGGCCCGCUCCUGGUCCCUGUGUUUUUUGGGCCAAUGUGUGCAGGUGCAGCUCCUGGUGGUCCAGCGCCGACCGCGUUUGCAGCGAUUCCGGCUGAUCUGGCACAGAUCGCAUCUGCCUCAGCUUCUGGUGGUCCGGUCCCGGCCACGCUCGUCUCUGCUCAUGGUGAUCCGGUCCCGACCACGCUCGUCUCAGCUCCUGGUGGUCCGGUCCCGGCCACGCUCGUCUCAGCUCCUGGUGGUCCGGUCCCGGCCACGCUCGUCUCAGUUCCUGGUGGUCCGGUCCCGGCUACGCUCGUCUCAGCUCAUGGUGGUCCGGUCCCGGCCACGCUCAUCUCAGCUCCUGGUGGCCCGGUCCCGGCCACGCUCGUCUCAGCUCCUGGUGGCCCGGUCCCGGCCACGCCCGUCUCCGCUCAUGGUGGUCCGGCGCCUGCAGAAUCUGCAUCGGUUCCUGGCGGCCCGGCUCCGGCCGCGCCUGCAUCGGUUCCUGGUGGCCCGGCUCCGGCCAUGUCUCCACGUCUGCCUCCGUCCGUGGUCCCGGCUCCGUCUCCACGUCUGUUCCCGUCUCUGGUUCCGGCUUCGUCUCCACGUCAGGCCUCGUCUCCACGUCUGUCCUCGUCUCUGGUCCUGGCCUCGUCUCCACGUCUGUCCUCGUCUCUGGUCCUGGCCUCGUCUCCACAUGUGUCCCUGUCUCUGGUUCCGGCUUUGUCUCCACGUCAGGCCUCAUCUCCACGUCUGUCCCCGUCGCUGUUCCCGGCUUUCCGCCGGCUCUCGCCUCACCUGCCUGACGGAGGGUCAGGUCCUUGGCGCAUCCUGUGGCAGGGAUGGCGCUGCCUCCUGCGUCGUCGGCCACCUCGGCUGGCCGGUUCCGGAAGCGAAUCCCUGGCUG